UGUUGCGUUAAAGCUCGUAGUCGAACUUCGGUCCCUGUCGGUCGGUCCGCCUUCUUGGUGUGUACUUACUCGACGGGGACUUACCUCCUGGUGAGCUGCGAUGUCCUUUACUGGGUGUCGUAGGGAACCAGGACGUUUACUUUGAAAAAAUUAGAGUGUUCAAAGCAGGCCUACGCCCGAAUACAUUAGCAUGGAAUAAUAGAAUAGGACGCGCGUUCCCAUUUUGUUGGUUUCUGAGAUCGCCGUAAUGAUUAAUAGGGAUAGUUGGGGGCAUUCGUAUUCCGUCGUCAGAGGUGAAAUUCUUGGAUUGCCGGAAGACGAACUAUUGCGAAAGCAUUUGCCAAGGAUGUUUUCAUUGAUCAAGAACGAAGGAAGGGGGAUCGAAAACGAUCAGAUACCGUUGUAGUCUCUUCUGUAAACUAUGCCAAUUGGGGAUUAGCUUAGGAUUUUUAAUGACUAAGUUAGCACCCGAAGAGAAAUCUUUAAAUGAGGUUCGGGGGGGAGUAUGGUCGCAAGGCUGAAACUUAAAGGAAUUGACGGAAGGGCACCACCAGGUGUGGAGCCUGCGGCUUAAUUUGACUCAACACGGGGAAACUCACCAGGUCCAGACACAAUAAGGAUUGACAGAUUGAUAGCUCUUUCUUGAUCUUGUGGUUGGUGGUGCAUGGCCGUUCUUAGUUGGUGGAGUGAUUUGUCUGGUUAAUUCCGAUAACGAACGAGACCUUAACCUGCUAAAUAGACCAGCCGGCUUUGGCUGGCUGCUGUCUUCUUAGAGGGACUAUCAGCGUUUAGCUGAUGGAAGUUUGAGGCAAUAACAGGUCUGUGAUGCCCUUAGAUGUUCUGGGCCGCACGCGCGCUACACUGACAGAGCCAGCGAGUCUACCACCUUGGCCGGAAGGCCUGGGUAAUCUUGUGAAACUCUGUCGUGAUGGGGAUAGAACAUUGCAAUUAUUGUUCUUCAACGAGGAAUACC
rnacentral:rRNA from 1 species